rnacentral:rRNA from 1 species
UACGGAGGGGACUAGCGUUGUUCGGAAUUACUGGGCGUAAAGCGCACGUAGGCGGAUUUGUAAGUCAGGGGUGAAAUCCCGGGGCUCAACCUCGGAACUGCCUUUGAUACUGCAAAUCUCGAGUCCGGAAGAGGUGAGUGGAAUUCCUGGUGUAGCGGUGAAAUGCGUAGAUAUUGGGGAGAACACCAGUGGCGAAGGCGGCUCACUGGACUGGUACUGACGCUGAGGCGCGAAAGCGUGGGGAGCAAACAGG